UUGAUCAUGGUUAGAUUGAACGCUGGCGGCAGGCCUAACACAUGCAAGUCGAGCGGUAACAUUUCUAGCUUGCUAGAAGAUGACGAGCGGCGGACGGGUGAGUAAUGCUUGGGAACAUGCCUUGAGGUGGGGGACAACAGUUGGAAACGACUGCUAAUACCGCAUAAUGUCUACGGACCAAAGGGGGCUUCGGCUCUCGCCUUUAGAUUGGCCCAAGUGGGAUUAGCUAGUUGGUGAGGUAAUGGCUCACCAAGGCAACGAUCCCUAGCUGGUUUGAGAGGAUGAUCAGCCACACUGGAACUGAGACACGGUCCAGACUCCUACGGGAGGCAGCAGUGGGGAAUAUUGCACAAUGGGCGCAAGCCUGAUGCAGCCAUGCCGCGUGUGUGAAGAAGGCUUCGGGUUGUAAAGCACUUUCAGUCAGGAGGAAAGGUUAGUCGUUAAUACCGGCUAGCUGUGACGUUACUGACAGAAGAAGCACCGGCUAACUCCGUGCCAGCAGCCGCGGUAAUACGGAGGGUGCGAGCGUUAAUCGGAAUUACUGGGCGUAAAGCGUACGCAGGCGGUUUGUUAAGCGAGAUGUGAAAGCCCCGGGCUCAACCUGGGAACUGCAUUUCGAACUGGCAAACUAGAGUGUGAUAGAGGGUGGUAGAAUUUCAGGUGUAGCGGUGAAAUGCGUAGAGAUCUGAAGGAAUANGAUGGCCGAAGGCAGCCAC
rnacentral:rRNA from 1 species